rnacentral:tRNA from 1 species
AGGUGGCUCCAUAAGUAAGAGUGCGUGUUUGGAAAACAUGAGGGCCGGAGUUCAAAUCUCUGACACCUA